rnacentral:tRNA from 1 species
GGUCUGGUAGUCCAGCCUGGAUAGGGCGCUGGCUUGCGGAGCCAGAUAUCUGGAGUAAAUUGUAUUCCAGAAUGGAUAUCGAGGGUUCAAAUCCCCCCCAGACCA